AUACGGAGGGUGCGAGCGUUAAUCGGAAUUACUGGGCGUAAAGGGUGCGUAGGCGGUUUGAUAAGUCGGAUGUGAAAGCCCCGGGCUUAACCUGGGAAUGGCAUUCGAUACUGUCAGGCUAGAGUAUGUCAGAGGUUGGCGGAAUUCCUGGUGUAGCGGUGAAAUGCGUAGAUAUCAGGAGGAACACCAGUGGCGAAGGCGGCUGACUGGGACAAUGCUGACGCUGAGGCACGAAAGCGUGGGGAGCAAACAGGAUUAGAUACCCUAGUAGUCC
rnacentral:rRNA from 1 species